UGGGGAAUAUUGCACAAUGGGCGAAAGCCUGAUGCAGCAACGCCGCGUGAGUGAUGAAGGUCUUCGGAUUGUAAAGCUCUGUCUUUUGGGACGAUAAUGACGGUACCAAAGGAGGAAGCCACGGCUAACUACGUGCCAGCAGCCGCGGUAAUACGUAGGUGGCGAGCGUUGUCCGGAUUUACUGGGCGUAAAGGGUGCGUAGGCGGAUGUUUAAGUGAGAUGUGAAAUACCCGGGCUUAACUUGGGUGCUGCAUUUCAAACUGGAUAUCUAGAGUGCAGGAGAGGAGAACGGAAUUCCUAGUGUAGCGGUGAAAUGCGUAGAGAUUAGGAAGAACACCAGUGGCGAAGGCGAUUCUCUGGACUGUAACUGACGCUGAGGCACGAAAGCGUGGGUAGCAAACAGGAUUAGAUACCCUGGUAGUCCACGCCGUAAACGAUGAGUACUAGGUGUAGGAGGUAUCGACCCCUUCUGUGCCGCAGUAAACACAUUAAGUACUCCGCCUGGGAAGUACGAUCGCAAGAU
rnacentral:rRNA from 1 species